rnacentral:lncRNA from 1 species
CCCUUGGCUACCUGCGCUGCGAGGAGAGAAGGGAAUUCAGAGAAGGGGUACAAGGGGGGCGUCCCUGGGAGGGGGCGCGACUGGAGGAGACAGAACGGGGAGCGGGUGCCAAAGCGCGGGCCUUUGCUCCGCCUGGGCGCAGUGGGAGCACCAACUGGCAGAGUUGGAAACUUUUCCUCCACGUGGCACCACAGUGCGUGGACGAGCGACCCCGCGCCCGGAUGACCCCUGGGAUUCCCGCCUCGUCUUCCAGCGGGGGACCUAGGGACGCACGGGCGGCUUCAGAUCCGGGAGCGCGAGGCCUAACAGCCGGGGGCCGAACUUGAACCUCGGAGGCGGCCGCGGGCGAGGGGCGGGGCCGAAGGGGCCGGGACCGCCGCCCCAGCUCGAGGACCCGUUAGACCGGCAAACCGCAGUCCCUGCCCCGCGGGCUUCCUUUACUUUUUGGGAGUGGGGGGCGGUUUCCCUGCUUUUUCCACCACAGCCCCUCCUCCCGCCGCAAUGUGGCUGAUGCUCAUAAAAAGUUGUAUUAAAGAGCUGACUGCAGCCGAGAAUCGAUCAACAAAAGCGACCAGCCUCUCUGGGUCUAUCCACGGCCUUCUCAACAGAUGACUUCAAGUUGAUUUCGUGCUUUAUUUCUUAAGAAUAGUGACUAACCUAAGGGAUCUGAUUCAAUUUAUUAGGAACACAGUGCCACCUUCCAAAAUUACUUACCUAAGAGGACUGAGCCUGCUGUCCCUGGAGCAGUUAGCUAAAACAGUGCCUCAGUACGGAGCGUACCUGUGUUAACUUCUAGAGUGCUGUUUCCGGCAGCUGCUGAAAUCCACGCUGAGGUUAUCAAGCUCAUCCUACAAAAUAAAGCAAGUUCUUCGCAAUUUAAAGCAAAAAUCUGGGCUUAUUUUUAGGGUUUUGGGGGAUGUGAAAGUUGUCUUAGAUAAGAUUCCAGGAAAGCUAAGAACUAACGAUGCAAUUACAGUCACCUUUCAACAACUUUGGGGAUUGGGUUGAGGAAGGUGUGAAAUUGGGAAAUAUAAUAAAAGGUAUUAUAUUAGUGACUUUCUAGAGUAGCCCUUGGCAGUCCUGUCUUUAAAGAGUAAUAACUGGAAAAAAAAAUGAAUGAUAAUACACUGCAUCCAAGAACCUUGCCUCUGGUGAGGGUAAUUUGCAAACGCAUUUUGGGAUAAUGUUCAGCAUUCAAUAUAAUCUUCCCUGGAAUUAGCAAUGCCUUUUGGGUCAGAGUUUCUUAGGUUUCUUCAGUCAUACAAUUAAAAUUGUUUCUGGAUUAUAUUGCCCAUAUUUGUUUCUAAUUCUCCAUUUUGCCUGUGUUUUAACUGCUAGCGAUUAAUAACUGCCAUAUAAUAAGCUAAGCAUUUAUUAUGUUUCAGGCACUGUUCUAACUGCAUUAAAAUAAUAUCUCAUUUAAUUCUCAUAAAUUUUGAGAAAAGUUUUAUUAUUCCUAUUUUACAGUUGAGUAAACUGAGGCUUAAAGUUAAGCAUAUUGUCCAAGGUGCCUCCACUCCUUAGUCAUAAGCUAAAUUUGAUCUGAGUGACUCCAAAACCUGUUCUCUUAAUGGUUAUGCUGAAAUGCCCUUCUUAGAAUGAUUCCUCAGGAAGUCAAAUGCUAGGUAUAUAGUACAACCACUUUGGAAAACUGGCAAUAUCUGUUAAAGUUAAACAUAUGAAAACCCUAUGGCCCAGCAGUUCCACGCUUAGGAAUAUACCAAUGUCCCAUGUGUGCCAAAAGACUAUUAAAUCACUCAGAGCAACCCUAUUCAUAAAUAACCCCCAACCAGGAAACAACCCAAAUGGUCAUAAACAGUAAAAUAGAUAAAUAAUUGGUGGUAUAUUCAUACAACAGAGUACAUUCUACCACACUAAGAAUGAACAAUCUGCUUCCAAAUGCAGUAAAAUAUAUGAACCUUACAAAUGUGCUAAGUGAAAAAAGGGAGAUGUACAAUUGCGGGACUCCAUUUAUGUGAAGUACAGAAACAGACAAAAGUCAUUGAUGCUAUUCAAAGUCAGGAUAGUGGUUACCCUUGAGAGAGAGCUGAUGACUAGGAGAGAACACCAAUCGGCUUCUGGGGAGCUGGUAGUGUUGUUUCUUGAGCUGGGUACUGGUGUGUUCAGUUUGUGAAAAUUCAUUGAGCUGUACUAUUGAUAUAUGCAUCUCUGUGUAUGUAAAUUAUGCUUCAAUAAAAAGCUUUAAAAUGCUG